rnacentral:rRNA from 1 species
UACGUAGGGUGCUAGCGUUGUCCGGAUUUAUUGGGCGUAAAGGGCUCGUAGGCGGCGUGUCGCGUCGGGGAGUGAAAGCCCGCUGCUUAGCGGCGGGUUGGCUUCCGGUACGGGCAUCGCUGGAGUGCGGCAGGGGAGACUGGAAUUCCUGGUGUAGCGGUGGAAUGCGCAGAUAUCAGGAGGAACACCGGUGGCGAAGGCGGGUCUCUGGGCCGUUACUGACGCUGAGGAGCGAAAGCGUGGGGAGCGAACAGG